AUUUGGAGUUCUGGCAGUUUCCUGAAAGCAACCCAGCUGAUUCCUUUCACAUUCAGCUCUGGCCCAACUUGUCGUCCAUCACAUUUGUGAAACAUCCCCAGAAGACAGUGCAGUGCCAGGGCAUUGAUGAUGAGUGAGUGAAUGAAUCCAUGACUGUGGGUUCUGCCUCUGACACUUCAGAAGAUGAUGGGUGAGUGGCAGGGGUGAACCAGGAUGAACAUGGAAGAAUUCUUCUUUGGGACUGAGAGGGAAUCCACGAGGCUGCACUGCCCUCUGGGGGUGGAUCACUCACUUGGGUAUCUGCUCAGUGGGGACUUCCUUUGCUAAGGCUGUCCAUGGGCCUCUGUACAAUCUUUCUCUCUGGGGGAUUUCAGGUGAGGUUUCAGAAAGGAGAUGGCUGGGGAGAUCAUCCUCGCAAGACGCUCAGAGUAUCUGGACCACCUGGAUGAUGAGGAGAAACUUAGGAUGCUUAGAUGAAAAUAGAAACUACAGGAGCUUCAUUACUUGGACUUCCCCCAACUGCCAUUUUUGAAGGAUCACAGAUCUAGAGAUUGCAGGGAUAUGGGUUCAGAAGACACCUGUGGCAAAGGGCUAACUCAAAACUCCUGGGGACUGGGAGUCCUUUCUCCCUUUGUAGAACCUUCAUGAAGUUCUCUUCAGGCACAGCUCUGCUGGGCUCCAACCAUCUGGAUCUUUCUGGAAUCAUCAGAUGACACCUCUCCCACCCUUCAGGAAUCCCACUCCGUGAGCCUGCCUUUCCUUGGUGAGCCUCUCAGCUGCCAAUGGAGACAGAGGUAUCAGCUACUGCAUCUGACUGAUGGGAGAUGCUGAUCUUUCGGCCUUUUCAAAUGUGCGAGGUCAUCCCGUUAGUGGUGGGAGUUUCUCUUCUCCCCAUAUCUUGCUCCCACAAGGUCAUUCUGUCUUGAGCAUCUACCAUUGGAUUCAAUGACCCCUCAACUUCAGGCUAGCUUGUUGUUUUUCUAUGCAGAUCAAAAGCAAGGGUGUGCUGGUAAAUGGUUUUUUUUAACAACUAGCUCUUCAAAAAUACGUAUUUACAACACACUUUAAAAUUUAAUUUGCAUUAUUAACAUUUCCUCUAUUAACG
rnacentral:lncRNA from 1 species